rnacentral:rRNA from 1 species
UACGAAGGGGGCUAGCGUUGCUCGGAAUCACUGGGCGUAAAGGGUGCGUAGGCGGGGCUUUAAGUCAGGGGUGAAAUCCUGGAGCUCAACUCCAGAACUGCCUUUGAUACUGAAGAUCUUGAGUCCGGGAGAGGUGAGUGGAACUGCGAGUGUAGAGGUGAAAUUCGUAGAUAUUCGCAAGAACACCCGUGGCGAAGGCGGCUCUCUGGGACGGUACUGACGCUGAGACGCGAAAGCGUGGGGAGCGAACAGG